rnacentral:rRNA from 1 species
UACGUAGGGGGGCUAGCGUUGUCCGGAAUCAUUGGGCGUAAAGCGCGUGUAGGCGGUCCGGUAAGUCCGCUGUGAAAGUCGAGGGCUCAACCCUCGAAUGCCGGUGGAUACUGUCGGGCUAGAGUGCGGAAGAGGCGAGUGGAAUUCCUGGUGUAGCGGUGAAAUGCGCAGAUAUCAGGAGGAACACCUAUUGCGAAGGCAGCUCGCUGGGACGCAACUGACGCUGAGACGCGAAAGCGUGGGGAGCAAACAGG